GAAGAACCACAAGGGAGACUGCAUCUUGCUCUCUAUCAAAAUCCAGAAUGAAAAUGAUACUAUAUCGUUUUGCUUUCGCAGGUGCGUUGGCAUAACUGUGUGUGUGUGUGUGUGUGUGUGUGUGUGUGUGUGUGUGUGUGUGUGUGUGUGUGUGUGUGUGUGUGUGUGUGUGUGUGUGUGUGUGUGUGUGUGUGUGUGUGUGUGUGUGUUAGUGUGACGCAUAACUGUGUCCUACUUCACUGUUUCUGUAUAUUUGUCUUUUGUUAACUCUCUGUUUUCCUGCUUCCUCUUAUUCUCAGGUAGGAAGUUUUGCUUCAUUGUGAUGAGGUUCUGGCAUAUGUCCACUGCUGAUGUUCCUGAGGACCAGGAGAGUACCAAGAUCUUCAAAAUGGCCACCACUGAAGAAGACCGCCCACAGAAGAAGAUAGUGACAGCUGUCUAUGAAUUCCACUGGGAGCUGACCAAGGGAGCUGAACCUGAUUGGACAGUCACUAACAUCUGGCACUGGAAACUGAUAGGGUGAUUGGACAAGACCCAUGAACACCUCUGUCACCAGGAUACAGCAUCAGACCAAGCAUACACAGCAUCGUUGACCUAAUUCAGCUCUGACAACAUUAAACUCAACAAAACAUUAUUAACCAACAGGACUUCAAUCAGCAGGACCAUUGUACUCAGCCAAGCGCACACAAACUCAACUGAAACAUUACAAGUCAACAGAAGAGUCACCUUGAAUCCUAGCUGCUUUGUAGGGUGGACUGGAUGGAACCAGAGCCCUACACACUGAAAUACAGACCUAUUAUUUAUCCCUAAGUUCUCCGAUCUCAGGUUUGUUGGGAACAAUAGACUUUCUAUGAACCUCAGCAUGAACAAUUCGUUUCUACAAUAUCCCUGCUGUUAUAGAUUGUCCCAGAACAAAAUAAACUGCUUCACGGUGAUACUGUAUGACAUUUUGUCUCUGUGAAACAGUAUCACAGGUUAAACUGUUGUUCUGUAUUGUUCAGAAACACCUUAGUUGUCUGAUUAUUCAGAAGUAAAAUUGAUACCGCAUAGCAUCUAUAAAGGUAAGACACAAUUAAUAAACACAACAAUCCUCAGCAGAAGGGGGCGAUAGUGUUACACAAAUCACAUUAUGAAUUAGUGUUGAUUGAAAGCGGUUGGAUAAUAACUGGCAAGUCUCCCUAUCCUCCUAUAGAUGUUUAUAUGAUACACAUUUUACAUAAGUGACCUCGGUUUAGUUUGGGAAUAAACAAAGGUAGAAUAGUAUACACAUACCGGUCCCACUUUAAAGGAAGUACAGCUUGUAAAGGCUUUAUAUAGCAUACAUAAGCACUACAUAAAUGCUUCACAAAUAAUCUAUAAGCAUAUGUCAUAUUCUAUACAUUUUGUAAAAACAUACAAAGUGUGUAAUGUCACAUUUGGCAAAUCACCCUACAGUGUUAAUGGUUAUGUCACCCUUUAUACAUCAUUUAUAGAGUAUGACAGAUGCUUAUAGUUGAUUUGUUUUAUGUAGUGCUUAUGAAGCAUACAAAUAUCUUACAUUAUGAUUAAAUGUCUCAAAGGAAUCACAGAUGUCGGUGUACUGUAAUGUAUCGUGCCAGUGCCAAAAUCAAACAUCCUCUAUUAGGCCCUCAUUGUAUACAACUACAACCAUUUGUUCUUAACUGACUUGCCUAGUUAAAUAGAUUUUUAAUCAAAUACAAUGUGAAACAUUUACACUGACAGGCUAUUGAACACUGUGUUUCAUCCAAUUCUGUCAACUCUUAAAUCACACUAUUAAUGAUGCAUCAAAAAGAGAGACAAUUCCUUCAUUAGUAAGCAUUAAUUCAUGCAUAAUGAAAUAUGGAUGGGGAUUAUUAUAAUUUCCAGGCGUGGUAAUAUGGACAGGUGCGUAGGGGGUUCUGGUUAGACGCUUCCUGGUUAUUCCUAAUGUGAUUAUGAGUGUGCAUAGCUUUACUUAUGUUAAAACGCUAGUGAAUAUGUUUAUAGCAUAUUAGCCAAUUCACCACGCCAGGGUGUCAGAUUGUUAAAUGGUCAUUUACAGUAGUAGAAUAAUUGUGAUAAAACACUGACAAAAAGAUCAUGUGUUGUUUAUUAACAUGUUAUGUUUCUGUGUUGUUGGGUUUCGACAUAGAUUAGUGUAUGCACCCGGGAACCUUUUAUUCAUCUGGUUAUUCAAGUUGAUAUUGUUAUCCAAACAAUUCAAUAUGCCGUCAGUACAGUAGGUGGGUGUUUGCGCACGCUUGUGUGUAUGUGCGCACGCCUGUGUGUUUGUGUGUCUAAGGCUGUGGCUGUGGCCACAUAUUUAAUUAGGAUUGACAGAUUAACAUUAUAACACUGACUUAAUACAACCAUAGAGUAAAUAUGUGUGUAAAUCUAAUCAAAGAGUAUGACAGAAUAAACAGGACUUCAAAUGAUAAGACUCCGAUGGCAUUGAUGGUACUCAUAAUUCUCAAUAUUUACUUAGGUGUCAGGAGUAGAUAUUGUAUAUUAUCACAUGCAGGAAGGGUAAGCAUUUAGUUAGCAGCAGAAAAAAAUGUAUUACUUAUUCUAGCAACAGCUUAUUGCUCUCAACCUAAGAAAAUACAUGACAGUCCACAAUCAAAAAUAAUUUUAAUGACCGUUAAUAUGACAAUUAAUAGUUAGUCUCAAAGAAAAAAAAAGAAUAAUAACACUUGAAGUACAUUCUUUCACAGAAUAGAUACUGAGGAGGUAAAAGAUACUAUUCAGAUUUAAUUAGCUUGAAUUUCCUUUAGAACGUCCUGGAAAAUCUCCACACACGUCCCCAGUGGGGUGUCUCAUGGAUGCCAGCUUCUACGCCUCCGCAAAUGUCUCCUCGGAAAUACUUGCGCCCACAUUUCGGAAUAUGUCAGUGAUCUGAAAAGGAAAUGGAGGCGGAAAUAAGAAUCAGAAGAUCUCUUUGACAAAUGAUUUCCUCAUGCUCCGUCCUAUUUCAAUAACAUUUUG
rnacentral:lncRNA from 1 species